rnacentral:misc_RNA from 1 species
GGCUGGAUCACCUCCUUUCUAAGGAGCUAGAAGACUGGAUCUUCCAAGCUUACCUAGGUCAAACACAAUCACGUACAACACUGCUAUUCGGUUUUGAGAGACCAGAGUCUUCUCUGGUUUUUUGCUCUUUACAGAUUAAGUGGAUCGUGGAAGCGAUAACACGAUGAUGGGCUUGUAGCUCAGUUGGCUAGAGCACACGACUGAUAAUCGUGAGGUCGCUGGUUCGAGUCCAGCCAGGCCCACCAACCUUUUUUGGGGGUGUAGCUCAGCUGGGAGAGCACCUGCCUUGCACGCAGGGGGUCAUCGGUUCGAUCCCGUUCACCUCCACCAAAAAAUUUGUAGGGACGUCCCGUCGGGGGUGUCUUUACGAUACGGUUCUUUGACAAUUGCAUAGUGGAUAGUUUAGGUAGUAAAAGCGUAUCAGUGUGCGUUUUUACUUUGAUUGUAUGUUUUGUAGAUUGAUUUCGAUUUUUUAUGGUCAAGCUACUAAGGGCGUACGGUGGAUGCCUAGGCAGAGAGAGGCGAUGAAGGACGUGGUAAAACUGCGAUAAGCUUCGGUGAGCCGUUAAACAGGCUUUGACCCGGAGAUUUCCGAAUGGGGAAACCCGGCAGGGGUAAUGCCCUGUCACUGUGUACUGAAUACAUAGGUACAUAGGGCGAACGAGGGGAACUGAAACAUCUAAGUACCCUCAGGAGAAGAAAACAAUAGUGAUUCCGUAGUAGCGGCGAGCGAACGCGGAGUAGCCCAAACCAGAACUACUUCGGUAUUUCUGGGGUUGCGGGGCCUCAACAUGGGAUUGAUGAAGGGUAGCUGAGCGGUCUGGAAAGGCCGGCCAUAGUGGGUGAUAGCCCCGUAAGCGAAACUCUGAUUCACCUUAGAGGAACCCCAAGUACCGCGGAACACGAGAAAUUCCGUGGGAAUCCGGGAGGACCAUCUCCCAAGGCUAAAUACUCCUCUCUGACCGAUAGUGAACCAGUACCGUGAGGGAAAGGUGAAAGUACUCCGAUAAGGAGGGUGAAAUAGAACCUGAAACCGUAUGCCUACAAGCAGUGGGAGCACCAUGUAUAUCAGGUGUGACCGCGUGCCUUUUGCAUAAUGAGUCAGCGAGUUACUCUUGCUAGCGAGGUUAAGUUCAUAGAACGGAGCCGUAGCGAAAGCGAGUCUUAACUGGGCGUCCAGUUAGCAGGAGUAGACCCGAAACCGGGUGAUCUAUCCAUGGCCAGGGUGAAAGGAAGGUAACACUUCGUGGAGGCCCGAACCCACUGGCGUUGAAAAGCCAGGGGAUGAGCUGUGGAUAGGAGUGAAAGGCUAAUCAAACUCGGAGAUAGCUGGUUUUCCUCGAAAUAUAUUUAGGUAUAGCCUCGCGUAUGCGUAACGGGGGUAGAGCACUGGAUGGGCUAGGGGUCUCACCAGAUUACCAAACCCAAUCAAACUCCGAAUACCGUUAACGAAGAGCGCGGGAGUCAGACGGCGGGUGAUAAGAUCCGUCGUCAAAAGGGAAAGAGCCCAGACCGCCAGCUAAGGUCCCAAAAUCUACGCUAAGUGGAAAACGAUGUGGAAAUGCCCAGACAACCAGGAGGUUGGCUUAGAAGCAGCCACCCUUUAAAGAAAGCGUAAUAGCUCACUGGUCGAGUGGGUCUGCGCGGAAAAUGUAACGGGGCUAAGCGUAGUACCGAAGCUGCGGAUCGACAUCUUAAGAUGCCGGUGGUAGAGGAACAUUGUGUAAGCCUGUGAAGGUCGACCGUGAGGACGGCUGGAGGUAUCACAAGAGAUUAUGCUGACAUGAAGUAGCGAAAAUGCGGGUGAGAAACCUGCACACCGUAAACCCAAGGUUUCCUCCGUAAAGGUAAUCUGCGGAGGGUUAGUCGAUCCCUAAGGCGAGGCCGAAAGGCGUAGUUGAUGGGAAACAGGUUAAUAUUCCUGUACCACCUGUUGUUGCGAUGGGGGGACGGAGAAGGGUAGGCGAGCCGGUUACUGGAUUUCCGGUUUAAGCGUGUAGGGGGGGAGAGUAGGCAAAUCCGCUUUCCCGUUAACCCUGAGACGUGAUGACGAGAGCGUAUGCUCAUAAAGUCGUUGAUCCCAUGCUUCCAAGAAAAGCCUCUAAGCUUCAGACAGCAGGUGAUCGUACCGUAAACCGACUCAGGUGGGUGAGGAGAGAAUCCUAAGGUGAUUGAGAGAACACUGGUUAAGGAACUCGGCAAAAUGACACCGUAACUUCGGGAUAAGGUGUGCCCUCAUUAGGUCUAGCGAUUUGCACGUGAAGCCGAAGAGGGUCGCAGAGAAAUGGCGGUAGCGACUGUUUACUAAAAACAUAGGUCUCUGCUAAGUCGUAAGACGAUGUAUAGGGACUGACGCCUGCCCGGUGCUGGAAGGUUAAGGGGAUUUGUUAGCGCAAGCGAAGCUUUGAACCGAAGCCCCAGUAAACGGCGGCCGUAACUAUAACGGUCCUAAGGUAGCGAAAUUCCUUGUCGGGUAAGUUCCGACCUGCACGAAUGGCGUAACGAUUUCCGCGCUGUCUCAACCAGUGACUCAGCGAAAUUGAAUUCUCGGUGAAGAUGCCGAGUACCCGCGGUAAGACGGAAAGACCCCGUGAACCUUUACUAUAGCUUGACAGUGACAUUCGGAAUAGCUUGUGUAGGAUAGGUGGGAGACUUUGAAGCUGGCACGCCAGUGUCGGUGGAGUCGCCCUUGAAAUACCACCCUGGUUGUUUUGGAUGUCUAACCUUGGCCCGUCAUCCGGGUCGGGGACACUGUCUGGUGGGUAGUUUGACUGGGGCGGUCGCCUCCCAAAGAGUAACGGAGGCGCG